rnacentral:rRNA from 1 species
GCGGAUGCCUUGGCUCUCGGAGGCGAUGAAGGACGUGAUAAGCUGCGAUAAGCUUUGGGGAGGUGCAAAUGACCUUUGAUCCAGAGAUUUCCGAAUGGGACAACCCAAUAUCUUGAAGAGGUAUUAUCCAACGUUGUUGGAGGCUAACGCAGGGAACUGAAACAUCUUAGUACCUGCAGGAAAAGAAAAUAAACAAUGAUUCCCCCAGUAGUGGCGAGCGAACGGGGAACAGCCCAAACCAUCCAUGUUACGGCAUGGGUGGGGUUGUAGGACUACGCCGUUGCAUGAAGACAUCAGAGAAGAACUUUCUGGAAAGAAAGACCAUAGAGCAUGACAGUUGCGUAUUCGAAUGUUGUCGAAGCAUAGUAGUAUCCUGAGUAGCGCGGAGCACGAGGAAUUCUGCGUGAAUCUGCCGGGACCAUCCGGUAAGGCUAAAUACUCCCGAGAGACCGAUAGCGAACCAGUACCGUGAGGGAAAGGUGAAAAGCACUUCGAACAGAAGAGUGAAAUAGUUCCUGAAACCGUGCGCCUACAAGCGGUCGGAGCUCGUUAAUGAGUGACGGCGUGCCUUUUGCAUAAUGAACCUACGAGUUGCCUUUGCCGGCAAGGUUAAGUGUGACGACACACGUAUCCGAAGCGAAAGCGAGUCUGAACAGGGCGUAUAGUCGGCAGUGGCAGACGCGAAACCAAGUGAUCUACCCUUGGCCAGGUUGAAGGCUGGGUAACACCAGCUGGAGGACCGCACCAAUAAGCGUUGAAAAGCUUCUGGAUGAGCUGAGGGUAGGGGUGAAAGGCUAAUCAAACUUGGAGAUAGCUCGUACUCCCCGAAAUGCAUUUAGGUGCAGCCUUGCGGGUUACUGAUGUGAGGUAGAGCGACUGAUAAGAUGCGAGGGCUUCACCGCCUAUCAAGUCUUGACAAACUCCGAAUGCGCAUCAGUUCUACCGCAGGAGUGAGGGCAUGGGUGCUAAGGUCCGUGCCCGAGAGGAGAAGAAUCCGGACCACCUGCUAAGGUCCCGAAAUGACAGCUAAGUUAAACUAACGAAGUCUGACUGCUAAGACAGCUAGGAUGUUGGCUUGGAAGCAGCCAUUCAUUUAAAGAGUGCGUAACAGCUCACUAGUCGAGGAGUCGGGCGUGGAUAAUAAUCGGGUAUUAAGUUGUCUACCGAAGCAGUGGGAUCAUUGAUAUGAUCGGUAGGGGAGCAUUCCAGUCAGCGUCGAAGGCGUACCGUGAGGUAUUCUGGAGCGUCUGGAAAAGCAAAUGUAGGUAUAAGUAACGAUAAAGGGGGCGGGAAACCCCCUCGCCGAAAGACUAAGGUUUCCUGAUCAACGCUAAUCGGAUCAGGGUCAGUCGGGUCCUAAGGCUCAGCCGAACGGCGAUGCCGAUGGCAGAAACGGUUAAUAUUCCGUUACUACCUUCAGGAGUGACGUGGAGACGCAGUAGUGACAGUGCCGCCAUCUGACGGAAUAGAUGGUUGAAGGGUGUAGGAGUCGAUCAUGGCAGGCAAAUCCACCAUGAGAUCCGAACCUGAUAGUAUGCCGCGUCCUUCGGGACAAGGCAAUAGUGCGCGUAAGCAUGCUGCCGAGAAAAUCCGCUAAACUUAAUCCUGCAGGUACCCGUACCGCAAACGGACACACGUAGUCGGGAUGAAUAUUCUAAGGCGCUUGAGUGAUUCACGGUUAAGGAACUAGGCAAACUGACCCUGUAACUUCGGGAUAAAGGGUCCCUACCCUUUUAUGGGAGGGCGCAGAGAAUCGGUCCAGGCAACUGUUUAACAAAAACACAGGGCUGUGCCAAAUCGAAAGAUCCAGUAUACAGCCUGACACCUGCCCGGUGCUGGAAGGUUAAGAGGAGAUGUCAUCGAUAAGAGAAGCGUUGAAUUGAAGCCCCAGUAAACGGCGGCCGUAACUAUAACGGUCCUAAGGUAGCGAAAUUCCUUGUCGGGUAAGUUCCGACCUGCACGAAUGGUGUAAUGAUCUGGACGCUGUCUCAACCGUGAGCUCAGUGAAAUUGUAGUAUCGGUGAAGAUGCCGAUUACCCGCGAUGGGACGAAAAGACCCCGUGAACCUUUACUAUAGCUUAUCAUUGAAUCUGGGCACGUGAUGUGUAGGAUAGGUCGGAGGCUUUGAAGCAGGUACGCCAGUAUUUGUGGAGCCGCUGUUGAAAUACGACCCUUUAUUUGUUUGGAUUCUAACCCGUGGAUACGGGGACAUUGAUUGGUGGGUAGUUUGACUGGGGUGGUCGCCUCCAAAAGCGUAACGGAGGCUUCU